rnacentral:tRNA from 1 species
AGUUAUAUAGCUCAGUGGUAGAACACAUGCGUAGAAUGCAUGAGGUCCUAGGUUCAAUCCCCAGUACCUCCA